UACGUAGGGUGCGAGCGUGUCCGGAAUUAUUGGGCGUAAAGGGCUCGUAGGCGGUUUGUCGCGUCGGGAGUGAAAACCAGGUGCUUAACACCUGGCUUGCUUUCGAUACGGGCAGACUAGAGGUAUGCAGGGGAGAACGGAAUUCCUGGUGUAGCGGUGAAAUGCGCAGAUAUCAGGAGGAACACCGGUGGCGAAGGCGGUUCUCUGGGCAUGACCUGACGCUGAGGAGCGAAAGUGUGGGGAGCGAACAGG
rnacentral:rRNA from 1 species